CUUUGGUGUUCAUAGCGAUAUGGAUCACCCGUUCCCAUCCCGA
rnacentral:rRNA from 1 species